rnacentral:rRNA from 1 species
GACGAACGCCUUCGGCGUGCUUAACACAUGCAAGUCGAACGGAAAGGCCCUGCUUUUGUGGGGUGCUCGAGUGGCGAACGGGUGAGUAACACGUGAGUAACCUGCCCUUGACUUUGGGAUAACUUCAGGAAACUGGGGCUAAUACCGGAUAGGAGCUCCUGCUGCAUGGUGGGGGUUGGAAAGUUUCGGCGGUUGGGGAUGGACUCGCGGCUUAUCAGCUUGUUGGUGGGGUAGUGGCUUACCAAGGCUUUGACGGGUAGCCGGCCUGAGAGGGUGACCGGCCACAUUGGGACUGAGAUACGGCCCAGACUCCUACGGGAGGCAGCAGUGGGGAAUAUUGCACAAUGGGCGGAAGCCUGAUGCAGCAACGCCGCGUGCGGGAUGACGGCCUUCGGGUUGUAAACCGCUUUCGCCUGUGACGAAGCGUGAGUGACGGUAAUGGGUAAAGAAGCACCGGCUAACUACGUGCCAGCAGCCGCGGUGAUACGUAGGGUGCGAGCGUUGUCCGGAUUUAUUGGGCGUAAAGGGCUCGUAGGUGGUUGAUCGCGUCGGAAGUGUAAUCUUGGGGCUUAACCCUGAGCGUGCUUUCGAUACGGGUUGACUUGAGGAAGGUAGGGGAGAAUGGAAUUCCUGGUGGAGCGGUGGAAUGCGCAGAUAUCAGGAGGAACACCAGUGGCGAAGGCGGUUCUCUGGGCCUUUCCUGACGCUGAGGAGCGAAAGCGUGGGGAGCGAACAGGCUUAGAUACCCUGGUAGUCCACGCUGUAAACGGUGGGUACUAGGUGUGGGGUCCAUUCCACGGGUUCCGUGCCGUAGCUAACGCUUUAAGUACCCCGCCUGGGGAGUACGGCCGCAAGGCUAAAACUCAAAGGAAUUGACGGGGCCCCGCACAAGCGGCGGAGCAUGCGGAUUAAUUCGAUGCAACGCGUAGAACCUUACCUGGGUUUGACAUGGAUCGGGAGUGCUCAGAGAUGGGUGUGCCUCUUUUGGGGUCGGUUCACAGGUGGUGCAUGCCUGUCGUCAGCUCGUGUCGUGAGAUGUUGGGUUAAGUCCCGCAACGAGCGCAACCCUUGUUCACUGUUGCCAGCACGUUAUGGUGGGGACUCAGUGGAGACCGCCGGGGUCAACUCGGAGGAAGGUGGGGAUGACGUCAAGUCCUCAUGCCCCUUAUGUCCAGGGCUUCACGCAUGCUACAAUGGCUGGUACAGAGAGUGGCGAGCCUGUGAGGGUGAGCGAAUCUCGGAAAGCCGGUCUCAGUUCGGAUUGGGGUCUGCAACUCGACCUCAUGAAGUCGGAGUCGCUAGUAAUCCGCAGAUCAGCAACGCUGCGGUGAAUACGUUCCCGGGGCU